AACAAGAUAACACAACCCAACCGACGAACCUGAAGCAUCGUCUCUUUCUCUCUCAAAACCGUAACUUCACCUCCUGCAAUCGAUCGAAUCCAAUGGCCAAUAGUAUAGAGGAUCGGGAAGAAUCAUUGAAUCCAAUGGCUAAUAGUAACCUCCGAAUCCUCUAUCUCUCUAGAUCCUCUGUACAAUCCUCUGAAUCAUCAAGGUAACUUCUACUUCUUUCAGCUUAGCAGGGCACUGGGCGCAUUUUAUAGCAGGAGCUGUUGGUAUGUUAUCUAACUGUCUCUCUCACAGUCAUCUUAUCAUUGAAAUAACUGUAAAGAUAGGAGGGAAACAUAUGUCCACUCAAUUGCAAAUUGACUUAGAAUGCCAAGCAUGCAGCAGAAAUGAAACUUGAUACCACCUGGCUGGAAAUUCAUAUAUCAGACAAGUGAUGAUUCUACCUUACGGAUAUGGUGUGGGUCUUUAAUAGAUAAUAUCCAGGUUUUCACCAAACCACACAAGAUUAAGGUGAUACACUUGGUUCGUUCGUAUAUGUUCCUUGUGAAGUCAUAAAGCAGCGGAUGCAAUUCAGGGAACGAGUAGCUCAUGGAGAUCUUUUAUUUCUAGGAACAGUGUUCCGGUGAAACCAAGAGGUGACAUGUAAGCUUUCCCACAUUUUUUCAGAUUAUGCAAGCAUAGGAACAAGUUACGAAAACUAACUUUAACCUUUUAACAAUCAUGCUUAUUCUGGAUUUUCUUUUGGUUAUACUUCUGCAUUUUUUUCAGAUUAUACUUCUGUCUAUAACCACAUUUUAGUUUCGAAUAUGUGCAGAAUUUGAUGUGGUUUGAGUGUU